ACUAAUCGCUUGGACCGGGACCUGAACGCAACUGCUACUUUCUUCACUCUCGGCUCUCGUCCAUAAACCCUAGCUCCUUCCUGAAUUAGUUGAAGCUAGGUUUUUCUGCAACUCUCCAAUCCCCGCCCAACAUGGCAGACAUCGAAAUGGACGACGCCUACACUCUCCCCCAAAGCGAAGACGAAGACAUCUGCACCUCAAUCCUCGCCCGCUUCAGCAACUCCACGCGCGAGGACCACCGCCACCUCUGCGCAGCCAUAGGCGCCAUGGCUCAGGAGCUCAAAGACGAGAACCUCCCUUCGACUCCCGUCGCCUAGUUGGGCUUCACGUGUUCUUCUCUCGACGGGCUCUCCUCCCAGCCCGAGCCUCCCGCUCACGUGAUAGACGCCCUCCUCACAAUUCUCUCCAUUAUCUUUCGGAAAGUGUCGCCCGCAAUUCUCGUGAAGAGGUCCGAGUUCCUAUCGGAGCUCUUGGCCUGUGUUCUGCGGUCUUCGUCUUUGACGGUGGGCGCCGCCCUCUCGGGAUUGAAAUGCAUAUCGCUUCUGCUCAUCAUCAGAUGCCGUGUCAACUGGUAUGAUGUGUCUUCAGUAUAUGGCUUCUUAUUGAGCUUUAUUACCGAUUCCCGCACUAAGGUGAGAAGACAAUCACAUUUGUGUCUUCGUGAUGUGCUGCGAAGUUUACAAGGAACACCGCUGCUGGCCCCUGCAAGUGAAGGGGUUACUAACUUAUUUGAAAGGUUUCUUCUGCUUGCCGGUGGGUCAAAUGCAGAUGCUGGUGAAGGACCCAAGGGAGCUCAGGAGGUCUUGUAUGUUUCGGAUGCUUUGAAAGAGUGUCUUUUUCAUAUGUCGAUCAAGUACAAAACUGCCGUCCUCAAGCACUACAAAACUCUUUUGGAAUUGCAACAACCACUUGUUACGAAGCGCAUAACAGAUAGUUUGAAUAUACUUUGUCUCAAUCCAUCUACAAAUGUUUCUCCUGAAGUGUUGCUCGAUCUGUUAUGCUCAUUAGCUCUUUCUGUCUCCACAAAUGAGACAUCUGUCGAUGGGAUGACAGUCACAGCUCGCUUGCUCGGUAAUGGAAUGGCCAAAGUUUAUUCCCUCAAUAGGCAUAUGCGUAGUUAAACUCCCUACUGUAUUCAAUGCACUCAGAGAUGUAUUGGCAUCUGAGCAUGAAUAGGCCAUACACGCAGCAGUGCAUACAUUUAAGACUCUCAUUCAUGCUUGCAUUGAUGAAAGCUUGAUCAAACAGGGAGUUGACCAGAUUGCAAUGAAUGCAAAUCUGGAUGCAAGGAAGUCUGGGCCAACUAUAAUUGAAAAAGUUUGUGCUACUAUUGAAAGCUUGCUUGGUUAUCACUAUGCUAGUGUCUGGGACCUUGCAUUCCAAGUUGUUUCAGCAAUGUUCGAUAAAUUAGGGGUAUAUUCUUCUUAUUUCAUGAGGGGUGCGCUCAGGAGCUUGGAAGGGAUGGCGAAGUUAUCCGAAGAAGAUUUCCCUUUCAGGAAAGAGUUGCAUGAAUGCUUUGGAUCGGCUCUUGUUGCAAUGGGACCUGAAACAUUUUUAGGUCUUCUACCUCUUAAUUUGGAGGCUGAAGACCCAAGUCAGGUGAAUGUUUGGCUCUUUCCGAUACUGAAGCAGUAUACUAUUGGUGCACGUUUGAGCUUCUUUACAGAGUCGAUUUUGGGUAUGGUUCAAACGAUGAAGGACAAAUCCAGAGAGCUUGAGUCACAAGGACGUAUUUUUUCAUCAAGGAGCACAGAUGGGUAGGUGAAUGCUUUGUGGUCGUUGUUACCUUCAUUUUGCAACUACGCUUCUGAUACUGCUGAAAGUUUCAACGAUCUAGAACAAGCCUUGUGCAGUGCCCUUCAAGAUGAACCUGAGAUUCGCGGAAUAAUAUGCUUGAGCUUGCAGAUUCUUGUUCAACAAAAUAAGAAAAUUGUGGGAGAAGUGAAUGAUCUGUCUGAUAGUGAAGUAGGUAGUGCCAGACACAGAGUUGUUGCUAACUAUACCCCUCAGGUUACAGCAGACAACUUGAGCGUGCUCAAGUCUUCUGCUUGCAAGUUACUGCUUGUUCUAUCAGGUGUCUUCUUGAAUACCACAAAAGAUGAUGCGGGCUGUUUGCAGUCCACAAUUGGUGAGUUUGCUUCAGUAGCAGAUACAGAAGCUGUAUCAGCGCUUUUCCGAAGUACAAUGCUGAAGCUUUUAAUGGUUAUUAAAAGGGGCUAGGAAAGCACAAAGUCAUAGAGAUUGUAAUUCCAAGCGGGCACAAGUAUUUGACUUGACAGUUUCACUUUUACCUGGUUUAAAUGCUGAUGAGGUUAAUGUUCUUUUUGGAGUAAUAAAGAGUGCAUUACAGGAUGAUGAAGGUUUGAUACAAAAGAAGGCAUAUAAAGUUCUUUCAAUCAUUCUCAGGGUAUGCAAAAGUUAAUAAUUUGUAUGCUUUGAAUGUUAUGGAUUAUCUAUAAUAAUGCUUCCAUACUGUGACCUGAAUUGUCAUCAUCUGUCAGUGGAAACUAUGGGAAAACAAGAUUUACUGGUUGUAAUUGGUUUGUAAUUGAUUUACUGUCACCUACCCAUGUUA